rnacentral:rRNA from 1 species
GGCGAACGCUGGCGGCGUGCCUAAUACAUGCAAGUAGAACGCACAGUUUAUACCGUAGCUUGCUACACCAUAGACUGUGAGUUGCGAACGGGUGAGUAACGCGUAGGUAACCUGCCUGGUAGCGGGGGAUAACUAUUGGAAACGAUAGCUAAUACCGCAUAAUAUUGAUUAUUGCAUGAUAAUUGAUUGAAAGAUGCUAUUGCAUCACUACCAGAUGGACCUGCGUUGUAUUAGCUAGUAGGUGAGGUAACGGCUCACCUAGGCGACGAUACAUAGCCGACCUGAGAGGGUGAUCGGCCACACUGGGACUGAGACACGGCCCAGACUCCUACGGGAGGCAGCAGUAGGGAAUCUUCGGCAAUGGACGAAAGUCUGACCGAGCAACGCCGCGUGAGUGAAGAAGGUUUUCGGAUCGUAAAGCUCUGCUGUAAGAGAAGAACGGGUGUGAGAGUGGAAAGUUCACACUGUGACGUUAUCUUACCAGAAAGGGACGGCUAACUACGUG